rnacentral:lncRNA from 1 species
CACCAACCAAGCUGACAGUGAACUACUUCAAAAGGACUUAACAGCAUUGGAAGACUGGGAAAACAAAUGGCAGAUGAGUUUUAAUGCCAAAAAAAUGCCUUGUCAUCAGAAUAUCCCCAAAAAAAUAGACCAGUGAUACAAACAUCGUACCAGCUACACGGUCAUACUCUAGACACAGAGGAAGCAAGUAAAUAUCUUGGAGUAACUAUCAGCAACAACCUAACAUGGGAUAAACACAUAGACAAUACAGUAGGCAAAGGAAACAGAACGUUGGGAUUUAUACGUAGAAACCUCAAAGGCUGUACAAAACCUGUAAAGGCAGCUGAGUAUGUAUCCAUGGUAAGACCUGCAGUGGAAUACGCAAGCACAAUAUGGGACCCAACCGCCCAAAAUAAAAUCAAGGCAAUUGAACAGGUCCAGAAAAGAGCUGCACGAUUUGUGAAUAACAACUACACAGACCGAACACCUGGCUGUGUCACAAAUAUGGUUAAAAAUCUUAAAUGGGAAAGUCUAGAAGAACGGAGGAAAACAAAUAGAUUAUGCAUGCUAUUUAAGAUCCAGCAUGAUCUUAUAGAUAUAGACCGUCACCAAUAUUUGACACCGAAUGAUAACCGGACCAGAGGUAAAAACCGCUUCUUCCAAGAAAGAACAAGUACAGACACUUACGGCCAAUCUUUCUUCCCGAGGACAAUCAGGGACUGGAACAACCUACCAACAACAGUUACAGCGACCAACACCGUUGAGGGAUUCAGAGCUGCCCUGAAGGCAUGCUCUGAAAGGAAGUAGGAAAACCCAGUUGUAAAUAAUUUUAAUUGUAUAUUUUUGCGAACGUUUUAAAUGUAUUUGUAAAUAGCCAAGAGAAAGCUUUCUGUGUUGCCCGACACUGCGUAAAGUUUUCGCGCGGAACCAUGAACAUUCAGUAUUGAAUCCGGUUCCUUACCUGGAAGAAGAA